rnacentral:sRNA from 1 species
CUCCCAUCCAAGUACUAACCAGGCCAGAUCUGCUUAGCAUCCAAGAUAAGAGAAGAUAGGGUGCAUUCAGAGUGGUAUGGCC